AGGCCAAUAAUCCAGUUCACGUAGCCUCAAUUUCCCAAUGCCAUUGAGGUAAAAUCUUUCCCACAAACUUAAGUCCAUUUGGCCUGACGGUGCUGUGAGUGCAUAGCCUAUGGUUUCACCGCAAUCUAAUUGCAUCUUUGAAAGCAGAGGGUAGAGUGCAAGACAGCUCAAUCCGAAUGCACGUUCAGAUGGCUUGUGGCGUCCCCUGCAAUCCCCUUCCACUCUUAUUCUAAUCUCUUCCAAAUUGGGACAGUCAUCAAGACCUACCGUUGCCAAUGGAUUGAGAAGCUCACCAACACCAAUCCAAAGAGAAAGGUAUUGCAACUUGUCCCAUUUCUUGAACCAAAAUGCAUCGACGGCAUUCCUUUCCAUAACGUUAUUAUCACACAAGUCAAUGGAGUACUUGCAUUUCUUCCUGCUUAUGUCUUGAUCAUACUCACAUCCAGGAAAGUUGGAUAAACCGGAU
rnacentral:lncRNA from 1 species